rnacentral:rRNA from 1 species
UGCGGUAUUUUAACUGUACUAAGGUAGCAUAAUAAUUUGCCUUAUAAUUUGAGGCUAGAAUGAAUGGUUUGACGAAGGUUAAUCUGUCUCUAUCCUAUUUUUUAGAAUUUAAUUUUUAUAGUGAAAAAGCUUAUAUUUUUUAAAGGGACGAGAAGACCCUACUGAGCUUAUAAUUUUAUUAUUAUUUGUUUGUAUAUAGUAAGUAAGUAUAUAAAUUUUAAUUGGGGUGAUUAAGGAAUAAGAUGUUAAUAAAGUAACUUCCUUAAGUUAAAUAUUGUUAGAUGAAGUAACCAAUACUAUUGCUUAUAAUAUAGCUACCAUAGGGAUAACAGCGUAAUUUAUUUAGAGAGUUCUUAUCAAUAAAUAAGAUUGCGACCUCGAUGUUGGAUUA